rnacentral:rRNA from 1 species
GGCUAGUGUGGCGNUAAGUUCUAGUGGAUCCUAUAGGGCGAUUGCGCCCUAUGCAACAUGCUGCCCGGGCGCCAUGGCCUUGGCAUUAGAGUUUGACCCUGGCUCAGAAUCAACGCUGGCGGCGUGCCUAACAUUGCCCGCCGAGCGAGAAAGUCGGCAAGGAUGAGUAAAGCGGCGAACGGGUGAGUAACAGGUAGGUUACCUACCUCUCAGUUUGGGACAACCUGUCGAAAGAUGGGCUAAUACCGAAUAAGACCACAGUAUCUUCGGGUACAGUGGUAAAAGAUGGCCUCUUCAUGAACGCUAUCGCUAAUAGAUGGGCCUGCGCACCAUUAGCUAGUUGGUAGGGUAAUGGCCUACGAAGGCUACGAUGGUUAGCUGAUCUGAGAGGAUGAUCAGCCAGGCUGGAACUGAAAGACGGUCCAGACUCCUACGGGAGGCAGCAGGGGGGAAUAUUGCGCAAUGGGGGAAACGCUGAGGCAACAACGCCGCGUGAGUGACGAAGGACUUUUGGUGGUAGAGCUCUGUUGGAGGGAAAGAAACGAUGGAUGGAUACUAUCGAUGGAAAUUGAGUGGUGAGUGGAAGGUAAGAUUAACUAAGUCCGUGGAAGUAGGGUUAAUAGAAGGGGGGGUAAUAGAGACGGAAAACUGUAAGGGGGAAGGAGGGUCUUGGGGAUAAUUGAAUGAAGUAAGAAGAAGGAUGGUAAGAGGAAAGGAGAAUAGGUAUGAGUGUAUGGGUCAUAAGAGAGAGUUUUGGGAUUGUAGUAGGGUUGUGGAUUAGGUUGUGGGUCGGGAGGAAGAGAAGAAGGAGGCGGAGUUGUGAGGAUGUAAGGGGGUUCCUCGGUUUGUUCUUGUUGUGAGGUGUGGAUCUAUAUUAUUCGUUGAAGCAUAGCGGGAUUGUGUGUAGUUGG